GUUUUUGAGGUUCUUGCCACAAAUGGAGACACUCAUCUAGGAGGAGAAGAUUUUGACCAGAGGGUUAUGGAGUAUUUCAUUAAAUUGAUAAAGAAGAAGCAUGGUAAGGACAUUAGCAAGGAUAACAAGGCUUUGGGUAAGCUCAGGAGAGAAGCUGAGCGUGCCAAGAGAGCCCUGAGCAGUCAGCAUCAAGUCAGGGUAGAGAUCGAGUCUCUUUUUGAUGGUGUGGAUUUCUCUGAACCACUAACCCGGGCUCGUUUUGAGGAGCUGAACAAUGAUUUGUUCCGUAAGACGAUGACUCCUGUGAAGAAGGCUAUGGAGGAUGCUGGUCUGGCAAAGAACCAGAUUGACGAGAUUGUCUUGGUUGGUGGAAGUACCAGGAUUCCAAAGGUUCAACAGCUUUUGAAAGAUUAUUUUGAUGGCAAGGAGCCUAGCAAAGGUGUCAACCCCGAUGAAGCAGUUGCUUAUGGUGCAGCUGUACAAGGAGGUAUCUUGAGUGGAGAAGGAGGC
rnacentral:misc_RNA from 1 species